rnacentral:rRNA from 1 species
UACGGGGGGGGCAAGCGUUGUUCGGAAUUACUGGGCGUAAAGGGCUUGUAGGUGGCCAACUAAGUCAGACGUGAAAUCCCUCAGCUUAACUGGGGAACUGCGUCUGAUACUGGAUGGCUUGAGAUUGGGAGAGGGACGCGGAAUUCCAGGUGUAGCGGUGAAAUGCGUAGAUAUCUGGAGGAACACCGGUGGCGAAGGCGGCGUCCUGGACCAACACUGACACUGAUGAGCGAAAGCCAGGGGAGCAAACGGG